UAGGGAAUCUUCGGCAAUGGACGGAAGUCUGACCGAGCAACGCCGCGUGAGUGAAGAAGGUUUUCGGAUCGUAAAGCUCUGUUGUAAGAGAAGAACGAGUGUGAGAGUGGAAAGUUCACACUGUGACGGUAUCUUACCAGAAAGGGACGGCUAACUACGUGCCAGCAGCCGCGGUAAUACGUAGGUCCCGAGCGUUGUCCGGAUUUAUUGGGCGUAAAGCGAGCGCAGGCGGUUAGAUAAGUCUGAAGUUAAAGGCUGUGGCUUAACCAUAGUAGGCUUUGGAAACUGUUUAACUUGAGUGCAAGAGGGAAGAGUGGAAUUCCAUGUGUAGCGGUGAAAUGCGUAGAUAUAUGGAGGAACACCGGUGGCGAAAGCGGCUCUCUGGCUUGUAACUGACGCUGAGGCUCGAAAGCGUGGGGAGCAAACAGGAUUAGAUACCCUGGUAGUCCACGCUGUAAACGAUGAGUGCUAGGUGUUAGACCCUUUCCGGGGUUUAGUGCCGUAGCUAACGCAUUAAGCACUCCGCCUGGGGAGUACGACCGCAAGGUUG
rnacentral:rRNA from 1 species